GGUCAGGUGGAGGAACAGGUGCCGGUGCUGGAGCUGGAUCUUUCUUUUUCUCUUCUUCUUUCUUCCCUUCCUCUUUCUUGGGUUCCUCUUUCUUUUCUUCUUCCUUCUUGGGUUCCUCUUUCUUAGCUUCUUCUUCUUUCUUGGGCUCCUCCUUCUUAGCCUCCUCUUCUUUCUUGGGUUCCUCCUUCUUAGGCUCUUCUUUCUUCUCAGGCUCCUUGGCAGGCCCUACUGAGAUUAUAUCAGUUUGCCAAUGCUUUCUCAAUUUGCUGACAACAGUUACAGGAUCAACAGUUCCGAUCACCGUUAAUUUCUUUUCCUUCAUGUCCAUGGCA
rnacentral:lncRNA from 1 species